AGAGGAGAGAGAGACGACGGCGACGGCGACGACGACGACGACGAUGGUGGGAGAUUGCGCAGGGCGUUCGAGAGCGAAACCCUAUUCCUCUUUCCCGAUUUCUUGUUCUUGAGUUCUUGAUGGAUGGGAUCGAUCGGUUCUACGGUAUAUUGCGGAAUCCAUGGAAGCCCGUGAUGGGGAGAGGGCCGGGAGCCGUCUUCGUCAACCUGGUCGUGAAACCGGACAAGAAGCUCAAGGAGGACGUCGCGAAACCCUAACCUUCUUUCCCCAUUUCUUGUUCUUGAGUUCUUGAUGGGUGGGUUCCAUCGGUUCUACGGUACAUUGCAGAAUCCAUGGAAGCACGUGCUGGGGACGCGGCCGGAGCUCGUCUUCGUCAACCAGUUCGUAAAACCGGACGAGACGCUCGACAAGGCCAUGGCCACCGACUUCGGUCCGUUUCUUGCACCUGUCCCUUCCCCUUUUAGCCUUCUUUCUCCGAUUAAUUCACUGGCUUGAAGCGGUCGAAUCUGAAAACCUAAUUGUAGAUUCCACCGGAGCGUUCUUGAUGGCAGUUUCAGGCGUAAAUCGGUGGGUGGCUGAGCACGGCGCAAAGUUGCUUUGGAGAUCUUAUCGAUCGAUUCUUGGAAUUGCUGAUGAAGUCACUCGAGUUAAUCGAGACUGCAGUUUUCUUUCCAGAGCCCGCCCUGUGAAUCUUCAGCGAAAUGCGGAGCAGCCGAUCCGAGACGUGCCGCGAGCUGGGCCGCUCGGCGGGAGUCGUCCUGGUGCAUUGCAAGGCCACAUCCAGCACAUCGUACAUGGACGACUCCCCGUGCGAUGCCAGCAGCCUCAGAGCAGGAUCCAGCAACUCCUCCCGCUCCGCCACCGACGACGAAGACGCCGACGCAACUCGAGACUGCACCCACCUCACCAUAUCCAUGUCUCCUCCGAAGGGAGUACGCAUAUUCUGCACAUAUAGCAGCAAUGGAAGUUUAGUCGAUGCAACAGUGACCGUGGUGGCCAGGUAUUCGACAAAAUACCUGGAGCCAUGUAGCCAUAUGAUCCGGCGAAGCAGGAGCCAGUCUCGG